rnacentral:rRNA from 1 species
GGGUUGUGAGGUUAAGCGACUAAGCGUACACGGUGGAUGCCCUGGCAGUCAGAGGCGAUGAAGGACGUGCUAAUCUGCGAUAAGCGUCGGUAAGGUGAUAUGAACCGUUAUAACCGGCGAUUUCCGAAUGGGGAAACCCAGUGUGUUUCGACACACUAUCAUUAACUGAAUCCAUAGGUUAAUGAGGCGAACCGGGGGAACUGAAACAUCUAAGUACCCCGAGGAAAAGAAAUCAACCGAGAUUCCCCCAGUAGCGGCGAGCGAACGGGGAGCAGCCCAGAGCCUGAAUCAGUGUGUGUGUUAGUGGAAGCGUCUGGAAAGGCGCGCGAUACAGGGUGACAGCCCCGUACACAAAAAUGCACAUGCUGUGAGCUCGAUGAGUAGGGCGGGACACGUGGUAUCCUGUCUGAAUAUGGGGGGACCAUCCUCCAAGGCUAAAUACUCCUGACUGACCGAUAGUGAACCAGUACCGUGAGGGAAAGGCGAAAAGAACCCCGGCGAGGGGAGUGAAAAAGAACCUGAAACCGUGUACGUACAAGCAGUGGGAGCCUCUUUUAUGGGGUGACUGCGUACCUUUUGUAUAAUGGGUCAGCGACUUAUAUUCUGUAGCAAGGUUAACCGAAUAGGGGAGCCGAAGGGAAACCGAGUCUUAACUGGGCGUUAAGUUGCAGGGUAUAGACCCGAAACCCGGUGAUCUAGCCAUGGGCAGGUUGAAGGUUGGGUAACACUAACUGGAGGACCGAACCGACUAAUGUUGAAAAAUUAGCGGAUGACUUGUGGCUGGGGGUGAAAGGCCAAUCAAACCGGGAGAUAGCUGGUUCUCCCCGAAAGCUAUUUAGGUAGCGCCUCGUGAAUUCAUCUCCGGGGGUAGAGCACUGUUUCGGCAAGGGGGUCAUCCCGACUUACCAACCCGAUGCAAACUGCGAAUACCGGAGAAUGUUAUCACGGGAGACACACGGCGGGUGCUAACGUCCGUCGUGAAGAGGGAAACAACCCAGACCGCCAGCUAAGGUCCCAAAGUCAUGGUUAAGUGGGAAACGAUGUGGGAAGGCCCAGACAGCCAGGAUGUUGGCUUAGAAGCAGCCAUCAUUUAAAGAAAGCGUAAUAGCUCACUGGUCGAGUCGGCCUGCGCGGAAGAUGUAACGGGGCUAAACCAUGCACCGAAGCUGCGGCAGCGACACUUAUGUGUUGUUGGGUAGGGGAGCGUUCUGUAAGCCUGUGAAGGUGUACUGUGAGGUAUGCUGGAGGUAUCAGAAGUGCGAAUGCUGACAUAAGUAACGAUAAAGCGGGUGAAAAGCCCGCUCGCCGGAAGACCAAGGGUUCCUGUCCAACGUUAAUCGGGGCAGGGUGAGUCGACCCCUAAGGCGAGGCCGAAAGGCGUAGUCGAUGGGAAACAGGUUAAUAUUCCUGUACUUGGUGUUACUGCGAAGGGGGGACGGAGAAGGCUAUGUUGGCCGGGCGACGGUUGUCCCGGUUUAAGCGUGUAGGCUGGUUUUCCAGGCAAAUCCGGAAAAUCAAGGCUGAGGCGUGAUGACGAGGCACUACGGUGCUGAAGCAACAAAUGCCCUGCUUCCAGGAAAAGCCUCUAAGCAUCAGGUAACAUCAAAUCGUACCCCAAACCGACACAGGUGGUCAGGUAGAGAAUACCAAGGCGCUUGAGAGAACUCGGGUGAAGGAACUAGGCAAAAUGGUGCCGUAACUUCGGGAGAAGGCACGCUGAUAUGUAGGUGAAGCGACUUGCUCGUGGAGCUGAAAUCAGUCGAAGAUACCAGCUGGCUGCAACUGUUUAUUAAAAACACAGCACUGUGCAAACACGAAAGUGGACGUAUACGGUGUGACGCCUGCCCGGUGCCGGAAGGUUAAUUGAUGGGGUUAGCGCAAGCGAAGCUCUUGAUCGAAGCCCCGGUAAACGGCGGCCGUAACUAUAACGGUCCUAAGGUAGCGAAAUUCCUUGUCGGGUAAGUUCCGACCUGCACGAAUGGCGUAAUGAUGGCCAGGCUGUCUCCACCCGAGACUCAGUGAAAUUGAACUCGCUGUGAAGAUGCAGUGUACCCGCGGCAAGACGGAAAGACCCCGUGAACCUUUACUAUAGCUUGACACUGAACAUUGAGCCUUGAUGUGUAGGAUAGGUGGGAGGCUUUGAAGUGUGGACGCCAGUCUGCAUGGAGCCGACCUUGAAAUACCACCCUUUAAUGUUUGAUGUUCUAACGUUGACCCGUAAUCCGGGUUGCGGACAGUGUCUGGUGGGUAGUUUGACUGGGGCGGUCUCCUCCUAAAGAGUAACGGAGGAGCACGAAGGUUGGCUAAUCCUGGUCGGACAUCAGGAGGUUAGUGCAAUGGCAUAAGCCAGCUUGACUGCGAGCGUGACGGCGCGAGCAGGUGCGAAAGCAGGUCAUAGUGAUCCGGUGGUUCUGAAUGGAAGGGCCAUCGCUCAACGGAUAAAAGGUACUCCGGGGAUAACAGGCUGAUACCGCCCAAGAGUUCAUAUCGACGGCGGUGUUUGGCACCUCGAUGUCGGCUCAUCACAUCCUGGGGCUGAAGUAGGUCCCAAGGGUAUGGCUGUUCGCCAUUUAAAGUGGUACGCGAGCUGGGUUUAGAACGUCGUGAGACAGUUCGGUCCCUAUCUGCCGUGGGCGCUGGAGAACUGAGGGGGGCUGCUCCUAGUACGAGAGGACCGGAGUGGACGCAUCACUGGUGUUCGGGUUGUCAUGCCAAUGGCACUGCCCGGUAGCUAAAUGCGGAAGAGAUAAGUGCUGAAAGCAUCUAAGCACGAAACUUGCCCCGAGAUGAGUUCUCCCUGACUCCUUGAGAGUCCUGAAGGAACGUUGAAGACGACGACGUUGAUAGGCCGGGUGUGUAAGCGCAGCGAUGCGUUGAGCUAACCGGUACUAAUGAACCGUGAGGCUUAACCUUACAACGCCGAAGCUGUU